GACAGAGGGGGCAAGCGUUGCUCGGAAUUACUGGGCGUAAAGGGCGCGUAGGCGGGAUGGCAAGUCGGUCGUGAAAUCCUUCGGCUCAACCGAAGAACGUCGAUCGAUACUGCUGUUCUUGAGGGUUGCAGAGGAGACUGGAAUUCCCGGUGUAGCGGUGAAAUGUGUAGAGAUCGGGAGGAACACCGGUGGCGAAGGCGGCAUCCUGGACCGGCAUUGACGCUGAGGAGCGAAAGCUAGGGGAGCAAACGGG
rnacentral:rRNA from 1 species